rnacentral:rRNA from 1 species
GACGAACGCUGGCGGCGUGCCUAAUACAUGCAAGUCGAGCGAAGUUUUUCUGGUGCUUGCACUAGAAAAACUUAGCGGCGAACGGGUGAGUAACACGUAAAGAACCUGCCUCAUAGACUGGGACAACUAUUGGAAACGAUAGCUAAUACCGGAUAACAGCAUUAACUGCAUGGUUGAUGUUUAAAAGUUGGUUAUGCUAACACUAUGAGAUGGCUUUGCGGUGCAUUAGCUAGUUGGUGGGGUAAAGGCCCACCAAGGCGACGAUGCAUAGCCGACCUGAGAGGGUGAUCGGCCACACUGGGACUGAGACACGGCCCAGACUCCUACGGGAGGCAGCAGUAGGGAAUCUUCCGCAAUGGGCGAAAGCCUGACGGAGCAACGCCGCGUGAGUGAAGAAGGAUUUCGGUUCGUAAAGCUCUGUUGUUAGGGAAGAAUGGAUAUGUAGUAACUAUACAUGUAAGAGACGGUACCUAACCAGAAAGCCACGGCUAACUACGUGCCAGCAGCCGCGGUAAUACGUAGGUGGCAAGCGUUGUCCGGAAUUAUUGGGCGUAAAGCGCGCGCAGGUGGUUUAAUAAGUCUGAUGUGAAAGCCCACGGCUCAACCGUGGAGGGUCAUUGGAAACUGUUAAACUUGAGUGCAGGAGAGAAAAGUGGAAUUCCUAGUGUAGCGGUGAAAUGCGUAGAGAUUAGGAGGAACACCAGUGGCGAAGGCGGCUUUUUGGCCUGUAACUGACACUGAGGCGCGAAAGCGUGGGGAGCAAACAGG